AUUGAACGCUGGCGGCAGGCUUAACACAUGCAAGUCGAGCGGGGGAGGUUGCUUCGGUAACUGACCUAGCGGCGGACGGGUGAGUAAUGCUUAGGAAUCUGCCUAUUAGUGGGGGCAACAUUCCGAAAGGGAUGCUAAUACCGCAUACGCCCUACGGGGGAAAGCAGGGGAUCUUCGGACCUUGCGCUAAUAGAUGAGCCUAAGCCGGAUUAGCUAGUUGGUGGGGUAAAGGCCUACCAAGGCGACGAUCUGUAGCGGGUCUGAGAGGAUGAUCCGCCACACUGGGACUGAGACACGGCCCAGACUCCUACGGGAGGCAGCAGUGGGGAAUAUUGGACAAUGGGCGGAAGCCUGAUCCAGCCAUGCCGCGUGUGUGAAGAAGGCCUUUUGGUUGUAAAGCACUUUAAGCGAGGAGGAGGCUCUUAAGGUUAAUACCCUUGAUGAGUGGACGUUACUCGCAGAAUAAGCACCGGCUAACUCUGUGCCAGCAGCCGCCGUAACAC
rnacentral:rRNA from 1 species